AUUGAACGCUGGCGGCAGGCCUAACACAUGCAAGUCGAGCGAGCGGCGGACGGGUGAGUAAUGUCUGGGAAACUGCCUGAUGGAGGGGGAUAACUACUGGAAACGGUAGCUAAUACCGCAUACCAUCAGAUGUGCCCAGAUGGGAGUAGCUAGUAGGUGGGGUAAUGGCUCACCUAGUCGACGAGCCCUAGCUGGUCUGAGAGGAUGACCAGCCACACUGGAACUGCACCACGGUCCAGACCCCUACGGGAGGCAGCAGUGGGGAAUAUUGGACAAUGGGCGCAAGCCGGAUGCAGACAUGCCGCGUGUAUGAAGAAGGCCUUCGGGUUGUAAAGUACUUUCAGCGAGGAGGCGUUACUCGCAGAAGAAGCACCGGCUAACUCAGUGCCAGAAGCCGCGGUAAUAC
rnacentral:rRNA from 1 species